CACUAUGAAGCUAAAUAGGAAGUAGCGUUAGCCUUUUAAGCUAAAGAAUGGUGACUCCUAACCACCCCUAGUG
rnacentral:tRNA from 1 species